AAACUUACCUGGCUGGGAGUUCCUCGCGAUCAGGAAGGCGGGGACUUCACAGUGAGGCUUGGUCAUUGCACUUUUCGGCUCAGGCUGACCUGUGUGGCUAUCCCGAGUUGGGAUCAGCCAACAGCANNNN
rnacentral:snRNA from 1 species